rnacentral:rRNA from 1 species
CUUCCAGGAAAAUCUUCUAAGUAUAUUGUAUAGGUAACCGUACUGUAAACCGACACUGGUGGGUAGGUAGAGAAUACUAAGGCUAUGAGACAACUCUGGUGAAGGAACUAGGCAAAAUAACACCGUAACUUUGGAAGAAGGUGUGCCCAUGUUAUGUGAAGGGACUUGCUCCUGGAGCAGAGAUGGGUUGCAAUUAUCAGGUGGCUGCGACUGUUUAUCAA